rnacentral:rRNA from 1 species
UACGUAGGGGGCGAGCGUUGUCCGGAUUUAUUGGGCGUAAAGAGCGUGUAGGCGGCCAGGUAGGUCUGCUGUGAAAACUCGAGGCUCAACCUCGAGAUGUCAUCGGAAACCAUUUGGCUAGAGUCCGGAAGAGGAAAGUGGAAUUCCUAGUGUAGCGGUGGAAUGCGCAGAUAUUAGGAGGAACACCAAUGGCGAAGGCAGCUCUCUGGUACGUGACUGACACUGAGACGCGAAAGCGUGGGGAGCGAACAGG